CCUACGGGAGGCAGCAGUAAGGAAUAUUGCGCAAUGGGCGAAAGCCUGACGCAGCGACGCCGCGUGGGGGAUGAAGGUCUUCGGAUUGUAAACCCCUUUCGGGAGGGAAGAUGGAAUGAGCAAUCAUUCGGACGGUACCUCCAGAAGCAGCCACGGCUAACUUCGUGCCAGCAGCCGCGGUAAUACGAAGGUGGCAAGCGUUGUUCGGAUUUACUGGGCGUACAGGGAGCGUAGGCGGUUUAGUAAGCCCUUUGUGAAAUCUCCAGGCUUAACCUGGAACAGUCGGAGGGGACUGCUAAGCUAGAGUACGGGAGAGGAGCGCGGAAUUCCCGGUGUAGCGGUGAAAUGCGUAGAGAUCGGGAGGAAGGCCGGUGGCGAAGGCGGCGCUCUGGAACGUUUCUGACGCUGAGGCUCGAAAGCGUGGGGAGCAAACAGGAUUAGAUACCCUGGUAGUCCACGCCUUAAACUAUGAAUACUAAGUGUCGGCGGUUUACCGCCGGUGCCGCAGCUACGCAUAGUAUUCGUCCGUGGAGUACGGCCGCGAGUAGAACGUACAAUAGAGUAGACGGUCGUGAGACGUUGUCCGACGGACGACGACGAGGGAGGAGG
rnacentral:rRNA from 1 species